AUGUUGCAGCUAAAAUAUGUUUUUCUUGUAGUGAUUAUUGCUUCUACUUCUGUUCUUCAGCCUCAGAUUUAUGUUGUGGUGACUACCACAGAGGUAUUCAAAAUUGUUGUCCUAGUUUCAGCUUCUAAAAUGGGUCAGACGGCUACUACCACAGCUGAUUUAUCUGCUCGGGGACCUUCAACUUCUCAUUCCCCUGCCAAGAGGGUUAGGGUGAUAAUACGUCCACUCCCAUUGGUAUAG